CUUCCUCGAUCUGCUGGGGGCAGAUGAAAUGGAUAUGGGCAUCCAUGCCGCCCGCGGUGAUGAUGCGGCCCUCGCUGGCGAUGACUUCGGUCGAGGGGCCGAUAAUGAUGGUGACGCCCGGCUGGGUAUCGGGAUUGCCUGCCUUGCCGAUACCGGCGAUCAAGCCGUUCUUGAGGCCGAUAUCGGCCUUGUAGAUGCCGGAAUGGUCGAUGAUCAGCGCAUUGGUGAUGACGGUAUCGACCGCGCCCUCGGCCCGCGUGCGCUGGCUUUGGCCCAUGCCGUCGCGGAU
rnacentral:sRNA from 1 species